rnacentral:rRNA from 1 species
UUAGGCGAGUAAAGACCUCGGUCGCUUUGGGAGGAGCUCGCUUACUAUCAGCUUGUUGGUAGGGUAACGGCCUACCAAGGCUAUGACGGUUAGGGGGUGUGAGAGCAUGACCCCCAGCAUUGGCACUGAAACACUGGCCAAACACCUACGGGUGGCUGCAGUCGAGAAUCUUCCACAAUGGGGGAAACCCUGAUGGAGCGAUGCUGCGUGCGGGAUGAAGGCCUUCGGGUUGUAAACCGCUUUUGUAGGGGACGAAAUUUUUGACGGUACCCUUUCGAAUAAGAGGUUGCUAACUCUGUGCCAGCAGCAGCGGUAAUACAGAGACCUCAAGCGUUAUCCGGAUUUACUGGGCGUAAAGCGUCUGUAGGGGGUUUAUUAAGUUCCAAGUAAAAUUUCAAGGCUCAACUUUGAAUUCGCUUGGAAAACUAAUAAACUGGAGUCUAGCAGAGGUGCAUGGAACUUGUGGUGUAGGAGUGGAAUCCGUUGAUAUCACAAGGAACACCAAAGGCGAAGGCAUUGCACUGGGCUAGCACUGACCCUGAGAGACGAAAGCGUGGGGAGCAAAACGGAUUAGAUACCCGUGUAGUCCACGCCCUAAACGAUGAAUGCUAAAUGUUCGGGGAUUCGACCCCCUGGGUGUUACAGCUAACGCGUUAAGCAUUCCGCCUGGGAAGUACGGCCGCAAGGCUAAAACUCAAAGGAAUAGACGGGGAUCCGCACAAGCGGUGGAGCGUCUGGUUUAAUUCGACAGUAAGCGUGGUACCUCACCAGGGUUUGACAUCCCUUGACAGCCUUGGAAACAAGGUUUCCUUCGGGCAAGGUGACAGGUGCUGCAUGGUCGUCGUCAGUUCGUGCCGUGAGGUGUUCCGUUAAGUCGGGAAACGAACGAAACCCCUAUUGCAUGUUACAAUUUCUCAUGCAAGACUGCCCGGAUAUACUGGGAGGAAGGUGGGGAUGACGUCAGAUCUGCAUGGUCCUUAUACCCUGGGCGACACAGGCGCUACAAUGGCAGAGACAAAGGGUUGCAAAACCGCAAGGUGAAGCUAAUCCCAAAAACUUUGUCUAAGUUCGGAUUGAAGGCUGCAAUUCGCCUUCAUGAAGCUGGAAUCGCUAGUAAUCGUGAAUCAGCCACGUCACGGUGAAUAUGUUCCCGGAUCUUGUACUCACCGCCCGUCACACCAAGAGAGUUGGUAGCUCCCGAAGC